rnacentral:tRNA from 2 species
GGACCUUUAGCUCAGUUGGUUAGAGCAGACGGCUCAUAACCGUCCGGUCGCAGGUUCGAAUCCUGCAAGGUCCA